rnacentral:rRNA from 1 species
GACGAACGCUGGCGGCGUGCUUAACACAUGCAAGUCGAACGGAAAGGCCCUGCUUUUGUGGGGUGCUCGAGUGGCGAACGGGUGAGUAACACGUGAGUAACCUGCCCUUGACUUUGGGAUAACUUCAGGAAACUGGGGCUAAUACCGGAUAGGAGCUCCUGCUGCAUGGUGGGAGUUGGAAAGUUUCGGCGGUUGGGGAUGGACUCGCGGCUUAUCAGCUUGUUGGUGGGGUAGUGGCUUACCAAGGCUUUGACGGGUAGCCGGCCUGAGAGGGUGACCGGCAACAUUGGAACUGAGAUACGGCCCAGACUCCUACGGGAGGCAGCGGGGGGAAUAUUGCACAAUGGGCGGAAGCCUGAUGCAGCAACGCCGCGUGCGGGAUGACGGCCUUCGGGUUGUAAACCGCUUUCGCCUGUGACGAAGCGUGAGUGACGGUAAUGGGUAAAGAAGCACCGGCUAACUACGUG